rnacentral:rRNA from 1 species
UGAGGAAUAUUGGUCAAUGGAUGAGAGUCUGAACCAGCCAAGUAGCGUGAAGGAUUACAGCCCUAUGGGUUUUAAACUUCUUUUAUAUGAGAGUAACAUGCGCCACGUGUGGUGUAUUGCAAGUAUCAUAAGAAAAAGGAUCGGCUAACUCCGUGCCAGCAGCCGCGGUAAUACGGAGGAUCCGAGCGUUAUCCGGAUUUAUUGGGUUUAAAGGGUGCGUAGGCCGGCUGGUAAGUCAGCGGUGAAACGUCGUUGCUCAACAAUGACCGUGCCGUUGAAACUGCCAGUCUUGAGUGCAUCCAGUGCAUGCGGAAUUCGUGGUGUAGCGGUGAAAUGCUUAGAUAUCACGAAGAACUCCGAUCGCGAAGGCAGCAUGCAGGGGUGCCACUGACGCUGAAGCACGAAAGCGUGGUUAUCAAACAGG